AACAUGAGAGCGAAGUGGAGAAAGAAGCGUAUGCGCAGGCUAAAGCGUAAAAGGAGAAAGAUGAGGCAGAGGGCCAAGUAAACUGCAAACCGUGUGCUGCAGCUGAGAUCCUGUUCAUCAUUUGAUACCCUUAGAGUCCAGAUAGGAAAUGUCCAACAGAAGAGGUGUCGUCCUUCUCCUGAGGUGGCCCAAACCCCAUUGGAGUUCAGAAUUCAGACUUCCGCUAUCGCGAGACUGUGACGUAUCGACUGUAUAUAAGACCUCCCCCUGCGAUAUGACGCUCUCUUGAAGUCGUUAGCUUCGCGGUGCGAGAAACGUCUCCGACAUGAGAGCGAAGUGGAGAAAGAAGCGUAUGCGCAGGCUGAAGCGUAAAAGGAGAAAGAUGAGGCAGAGGUCCAAGUAAACUGCAAACCUUGUGCUGCAGCUGAGAUCCUGUUCAUCUUGGAUUCCCUUUGAGUCUUCUGGCAAAAGUCCAACUGAAGAGGGGUGUUGUCCAUCUUCUGUGGAGUCCAGUCAAGUAUCACGGAGGAAGCUUACAUCUUUGGGCUGUCCAGUCGGCUGUUGGUCUUUUACCUUGUGGACUCUUUUGGACUUUCACUUGGCAGUGCAGCGUUUUUGUUAAUACCUGUCCAAUAAAAAAUUGGUUUAAAAUAUA